CGUAGGGUGCAAGCGUUAAUCGGAAUUACUGGGCGUAAAGCGUGCGCAGGCGGUUUUGUAAGACAGGCGUGAAAUCCCCGGGCUCAACCUGGGAAUUGCGCUUGUGACUGCAAGGCUGGAGUGCGGCAGAGGGGGAUGGAAUUCCGCGUGUAGCAGUGAAAUGCGUAGAUAUGCGGAGGAACACCGAUGGCGAAGGCAAUCCCCUGGGCCUGCACUGACGCUCAUGCACGAAAGCGUGGGAGCAAACAGGAUU
rnacentral:rRNA from 1 species